rnacentral:rRNA from 1 species
CGAAGCCUGACGGAGCAACGCCGCGUGUGGGAAGAAGGCUCUUGGGCUGUCAACCACUUUUCUCAGGGAAGAAGCCCUGACGGUACCUGAGGAAUCAGCUUCGGCUAACUCCGUGCCAGUAGCCGCGGUAAUACGGAGGAGGCAAGCGUUAUCCGGAAUUAUUGGGCGUAAAGCGUCCGCAGGGGGCACAUCAAGUCUGCUGUUAAAGGCUGGAGCUUAACUCCGGUAGAGCAGUGGAAACUGGUGUGCUAGAGGGCGACAGGGGUAGAGGGAAUUCCCAGUGUAGCGGUGAAAUGCGUAGAGAUUGGGAAGAACACCAGUGGCGAAGGCGCUCUACUGGGCCGCGACUGACGCUGAGGGACGAAAGCUAGGGGAGCG